GGGUGUGGGUGGGUUUCCGUAAGAGGUUGCGUUGGGACACCAAGUGUUUCUGAUAGUUGUCUGAGGUGGAUGCCAAGUUCAUCAUUAAAUGCGAGGCAAAGAGAGAUCUUUCCAUAGACAUUUGUUUGAAAGUAUUGAAGCGGAAGUUAAAAACAUUUGCAUGAUUUGGCUUCACUAGUAAAAAAGUUCGUUAAGGUAUCUUCUAUGGUACUAGAAGCUGAUAAGGACCAUGGAAGCUGGAUGGGAAUUAGAUAGCGUCAUCAAAUAUUCAAUGGACCUAGCUCAACUCUGUUUUCUGGAAAGCUUAACUUAUUAUUUAAUGCAGAUGAUGGUGAGUUCUAGUGAGCCCAGAUAUUGCAUUUUUAUCAAAGCAUAAUUUGACGUGGGUUUUCCCGAUUUAAAUCCAUUUCAUGACAAGAGCAUAUGGGGUAGCGUGGAACUUAUUGUGCUCCUGCUUUCGAAAAUGCUCCAUGAACGCCUCGAUGUUUAUAUCAAAUAAUGUAAAAAAAUCUUCAUGGUUCCCUGAUACAAGAUGAACUAAGAUGCCAGUGAGAUGGGGGACUGGAGGGUUAUUUGUAAAUUGAGAUGUGAUAUUGAAAAAAUAGACAAUAGUACAACAAAAAUAAGAUUAUAAUGUUAAAUAAAAGAGUUUCAGCAUGGAAUAGAAUUUGUGCUAAUAAAAUAAAGGUAUGUUUUGUUGGGGGGAG
rnacentral:lncRNA from 1 species